GAUGAAGAACGUAGCGAAAUGCGAUACUUGGUGUGAAUUGCAGAAUCCCGUGAACCAUCGAGUCUUUGAACGCAAGUUGCGCCCGAAGCCAUUAGGCCGAGGGCACGUCUGCCUGGGCGUCACACGUCGUUGCCCCCCCAUCUACUCCUUCGGGAUUGCGGGGGGCGGAUGAUGGCCUCCCGUGCGCCUCGUCGCGCGGUUGGCCUAAAUGCCAAGUCCUCGGCGACGCACGCCACGACAAUCGGUGGUUGCGAAACCUCGGUUGCCUGUCGUGUGCGGUCGUCGCGCAUCGAGGGCUCGAAAAAAUUGCCGGGCUUCGGCUCGACUUUCAACGCGACCCCAGGUCAGGCGGGGUUACCCGCUGAAUUUAAGCAUAUCAAUAAGCGGAGGA
rnacentral:misc_RNA from 1 species